rnacentral:antisense_RNA from 1 species
UUUUAUGGCGGCUUUGCAUGGGGCACUUCGGUGCGCCGGGUUCUAGAGUCCUGGUCUGCUAACCCCGUAUAAGCACGCCUACCGC